AGGAUGAACGCUGGCGGCGUGCUUAACACAUGCAAGUCGAACGGUCACUUCGGUGACAGUGGCGCACGGGUGAGUAACACGUAGCUAACCUGCCUUCGAGUUCGGAAUAACGUCCCGAAAGGGAUGCUAAUACCGGAUAAGCUCCCGAUGAGUAAGUAAUCGGGAGAAAAGGAGCAAUCCGCUUGAAGAGGGGGCUGCGACCCAUCAGGUAGUUGGUGUGGUAAAAGCGCACCAAGCCGACGACGGGUAGGGGGCCUGAGAGGGUGGUCCCCCACACUGGGACUGAGACACGGCCCAGACUCCUACGGGAGGCAGCAGUGAGGAAUAUGCACAAUGGGCGAAAGCCUGAUGCAGCGACGCCGCGUGGGUGAGUGAAGGUCGUUUCGGUCGUUAAAACCCUUUCUGCGUGACGAGACGAAGGACGGUAGCGCAAGGAAUAAGUCUCGGCUAACGUACGUGCCAAGCAGCCGC
rnacentral:rRNA from 1 species